CCAUGUGGGUGGGUGUUUGUCUAAAGUAUGAAAAGUAUGAUGCUAACACAAUAUAAAACUUAGUUAUCUUGAAAUACUUUGUGGUAUUUUAUUGUUACUGAGGUUACCUCUUAUUCAUUCAGAGGUUACCUCUUUGUGGUAUUUUAUUGUUACUGAGGUUACCUCUUAACCAUUCAGACUUGAGGUUACCUCUUAUUCAUUCAGAGGUUUUAAACCAUUAAGAGGUAGCAUCUGAAUGGUCAUUAAGAGGUUACCAAACAACCCCUUAGUGUUUUCGUCUGGUCUUGUGUUUUCGUUGGCCCUUGUGAUUUCGUCUAACCCUAGUCGUCGUCACCACCAUUUACCCAGAUCAAUUCACGAAAUCAUUAUCAUCAUCAUCAUACAAUCAUCAGCAAGUUAUUGUGAUUAUCAAGAACCCUAACCAUCAUUAACUGUUAUGUGAUUAAAUCAUCAUCUCUAUCACACAGGAGCAUCAACCAUAGUCAAAAGAAUGAAUACUAAUCAUGAGUUUAUAGAUAACCCUAAUUAUUAACAGAUUCAUCAUCUCCUCAUGACAGAAAAUCAGAUCAUCAUCAUCACGCUAAACUACAUCCUAUUGAAACCUAUCAUUUAUUCAGAUAAAUUAACGAAAUCAUACAUAUAGUCCUAAUAAUAACACAAGAUCCCACACCCUAACCAUGAACAUGCAUACCACAAUCCACAGAACUUCUUUAAUUGGUUUUUCAUAUACAAAUACACAUCGAUCAAACAAGGAAUCACGUAACGACUAACAAUAGUGCGAACUAACCGAGAUGGAAGGGUCACUAGAUUGAUCGAAAGGGAAGGCUUGAAGUCUUGCAGUUGCCGUCGCACAGGGAAGGCAAUAGGGGCUCUAGGGUUUGGCGAUUAAGCUUUUACGUAACAGUGGGGGACAAGAUAUUAAAACAGAUUGCUACUGGGCCAAAGCCCAUUUGUUGUUUUUGCCAGUUAGUAGUGGACGAAAACACUAAAGUGUUUUCGCCAACAUGGGUGUUUUCGUGGGGUAGGGGUUUUCGCCAAGGGGUGUCUUCGGGUGUGGGUGUUUUCGGCUGGGGGUGAUUCCGUGAGAGUAGGGGUGUUCGGCCAAUGUUCCAUAUUUAAUUAUAAAACACAAAUUAACACAAAACACAUUAUUAACAUACACUUAAAUAUAAUGCACAUCUAAUAUAUAUAUAAAACACACUUUGCAAAUAAGUACAAGGUUAAGUCGAAUAGAGAUCUUGAAAACUCGGGUUGUCAGAUUAUCCCCAACUUGAAAGAAAUUUCGUCUCGAAAUUUAGCACGUGGUUACUGAGGAAGUUAGUUGUGUUGUGUUGUUUCCUGGUUUUCCUGGGGUGUCACAUCGUUUUAAAGCCUACUACGACAGCGUUCCGGGCGGUGAGAUAAGUCACGAAGACCGGGUGGCAGUGGCCAACAUCGAGUCCCGGGGCAAGGAGCGGAAGCCGUUUGACAAGCUCGCCCUUUUCGAAAUCUACCUAACGCUUUAGAUUUUUUUUGUAAUCUUUUUUUUUUUGUAGAAUUUUGUAAUUUUUAGGAAAUUUUAAUAAAAUUUUAGGCUUAAUGUUGUGUGUAUUUUUAAAUUUUAGUUUUUUUUUAUUUUAAUAAAGCUGGCCAAGCCAUGCGGGCUAGCCACGCCCCGCCAUACCCCACGGAUACGUCACUCACCAGCGCGGGGGGGGGGGGGGCUCGAACUCUACGUGUCAACCCAUGCCCCAAACCUCCGCCCCACCAUACCCCACGGUCUAACUGUAUUAUUCUGACUUCUCAAAGGUUUACCAUAUCUCUUGAAAGAAAAAUACACAUGCAAUUCUAUUCAUGGAUUCCCAAUACCCAUUCUCUAAGUGAGUAGAUAAGUAACGUGUUUUAGUGUUGGAUUAAUCAGUUGAUUUUUUAAAAGUUUUCUUAUUGGUUUAUAAGUGUUUUUUAUUUCCUUAUUUUUGGUGUUUUAUACAUGUUUUAAGUAUGAUUAUGAAUUUUUUUAGUGUCAUUAUAUAUUAUAUAAUUAUAUAAUUAAGUAAAUAAGUAUGAACAAUUUACAACACCUUUAAGUAAAUACAUAUGACCUGCUUUUAUCUAACCCGUUUUGACCCAACCUAUUUAGUCCUCACUUGUUUUACCCUACCAAUUUUUGCACCCCCUCAUAAAAAUUUUUGAAUCUGCCACUGAAUUGUACAGACAUCUUUUAGAAUUAAACAACAUAAAGGGUUGAAAAACAUGAGUCGUAUUGUAUCACACACACGAAAUGCAUAGAAAGUCAUUUCUACGACUCGUAUGGGUGGUUGUAUAAAAAAAUUAAACCGCUUUACAUAUAUAUAACUUUUAUUAUUAUUUUCUAAUAAAUUUAGUCGUAUUUAUUACGAUAUAUGAUAAACAAUCAAUCAAACAAAAAAUAACAAACCAGUAACUAAAAUGAUAAAUAUAUAUUAAGUUUCAUGAGUUUUACAUCAAAGUACAACCAAAACAAAUAAAACAUCGCAUGUGGAUCAUGUAGGUAGGCCCAAACAAUGGCUUCUCGCCAUAUGGAUCAUGUAGAUAGGCCCAAACAACACUAGAUCAAAACAAACUAUAAAAAGUAAGGAUAGAAGUAUAAAUCAGUUUGAUACAGAUUCACCACCAAACGAGAUAGUGGGGCUGCGAACUCUAACAAAAGAUUGUACACCACCUCAAUUGAAAACUCGGGUCUAAGAACACCACCCAACGUACCACUGUUGAGCUAGCAUAGACAAUUAAUUUAACUCACACUAAAGAGAUAAAUUAACAAACUCAUUUCCAAAAUAUCAAACUCUUUGGCCUUUCGUUCCAUAAAUAAUCCUUUAAAUAAAACAAUUUCAAGCAGUUACAAUAUUUCAAUUUUUUUGAAAAAUAAUACAUUUACAGCUUACAAGGCUACUGUAACACUCGAAAUUUUCUUAAAUCGUUAUAAUAUUUAUUAAGGUUUAGUAUAAUUUAAGUUGCAUGUUUAAAAGAAGUUAAAAUGAAAUACUUUGAUUUUUUUUAAACAAGUUAGUUAGUGUUCUACGCAUUCAUUAUCACCAACCAUGAAUAUGUUAUAUAUUUUAAAAUACAGUGAGUUAUUUAAAUUUUAUAAAACGGUUAUUUUUUUAUAAUCUUGUUAAAGCCAUUUAUGUGUGUAAUAUAUAUAUAUAUAUACAUAUAUAUAUACAUGUGUGUGUAUGUGUAGGUAACUAGUAAAUCUAUCUGGUUACAAAGAAAUAAAUAUCAUAAUUUUGUCCUAAAUCUUUGUGCAAGACUAAGUUAAAAAGAAAAAAAAAAACCCAUCUCAACUCUAUUCUCUUUCUCAAUAUACGGACAUACACACAUACCAAACAAUACACUAUGUAUGCACCAUGCUUUAACAUCAUUUCUUUUUGAAUCAAACUAUUUGAUAAACAAAUGAGGAAAAGCAAAAUCAAUCCAGUAGGUGUGGAUAGUAUGAAACCUAAGAUAUAUAUGUUUUGACUUUUGUGAAAGUUUAGCACAUGUGUAAGAUAAAUUAAAUCAUAAACCUGUUACCUACCUACCAUUUACCUUACUUCCUUUCUUUUCUUUUUCUUUGGGUAGAACCAUCACAAUCAAACUUUAAUUUUGAUUGUCAUACACUCAAUUACACAUUACCCUAUUAUUAUAUUGAGGAGCACAUGGUGUAGAACAACCCAUUUCUGAUUUCUUAUAAAGAGACCAAUAUGAUUUUAUUAUCAAACCACACUAAAAUACAUAUACACCUAAAAGUCUAAUCUAAGUUCAAGAGUUCAAGUUCGAAGUUCAGUGCUUUCAAAAUCCAUCUCUUUGCUUGAAUCAAGUUCGCAUAAGUUUUGAGGACGACCCGAUUUUUGGAUUCUUUUUUGCUUGCUAAACUAAGGUAAUCAGGGAUAAUAUGGGGAAUCAGUAAUGAGAGAUUAAUGGAUGUUCAAGAGUAUUUAAAGACUCUUUAUUUUGUUAAAUCAUGUACUUUUAAAUGAACUUCAGACUUAGGGUAUUUUGAGACGUGUAUGUCACCUUGAAUCCUAUCUUAUAUUAAGUGGAUGUGUUUUGGUUAUGGUAUUCGUAAUAGUGACGCUCCGACCUGCCCCGGGUUGGGGUGUUACAGCUACCCUCAUUUUGACCAACUUAACACUUUAUCCCUAUGUGUAAACGGGUCAUCAUCGACUAAAUGAACUGUAGUGAACCGAUCUACAACAAUAGACGGCGAUAUCUGUUGAAGUUUGACUGAAUGAAGUUAGUA